rnacentral:miRNA from 1 species
UACCUCAUCGAUUGGAAGGAUUUCCUUCAGAUUGAUGAGGUACAACAACCCCAUCAACCGGAAGGAAUCCCUUCCGGUCGAUGAGGUUGUUAUACCUCAUCAAUCGGAAGGAUUUCCUUCAGAUCGAUGAGGUA